UCCGGAGGAAGUAGAAGUAGGCCAACCUAAUUUUUUUCUAUAUUUAUUUCGAUGGAAUGAUGGUCAGAUUAUAUUAUCAAUUUCAAAUUGAAAGAGAUGAGCCAUCACACUUAUCGGAAUAGACGGCGUUGGAAAAUUUUCACACACCGUAAUAUUGUGCUUUUUUAUACUUUAAAUUCUACCAUUUUAUGUUUGUAUUCACAUAUUUCAUUCUAGUUUUGGUUCUAGAUUUAUGUAUUUAUAUAUAACUGAAUUCUAUAUGAAUUUGAGUAUUUGCUUCCGAUUCUAUGUUCUAAAAUGCUCUGCACCUUUGCUAUUGCUUUUGAUUUUUUUGGUAUACCAGUUUCCAUUUUGUGAAAAAUAUCUCAGAAGAGAGUCUAAGUGGAUGAGUCCUUUGAAAUGCAUUUUGAAUUUGAGGUUUUAAUUUUAGGUCAAAUUUUAAUUUAGUUUUCGAUUCUAUGUUCUAAAAUGUGUAUGUCUUGUAUUUUGAAGAAUUUGUGGUGAAAGGGUUCAGAAUUUGAGAGGACUCACGUACUUGAAUUUGAGGGCUGAAUUUAUACUAACCUAGUUAAGAUUGGUAGGAUAUCAUGAAUUAUAUUGAGAAUUUGGUAUAUACACUUCAAGAUGGAUGAUACUAUGCUAGUGUAAAUUGGGGAACGUGUGAGCAUGUAACAGAUGAGUGACGACAAGAAACUCACUAAGCCAGUUCAAUGUCAGUAAUGAUAUUUAGAUGAUAUUUGUGUUUUUAGUUGAUUCUAUUUGAUGUGUAUGUCCCUCCUAAGGAACUUGAAUAUGGAGUUCUAAUGAUUAUAAAAUUAAUUCGUGUUUUUGAGGUGAUGAUACUAUGCUACUUGAUCUAAACUGAAAAUUUAGUUAAAAUAGGUGGUAUCGUGCCUGUGCUUGUUUGCCAGGUUAAUGGCAAUCUCUAGUGAUAUUUGACCCAAAAAUUUCUUUAUAUGUGAUUUAUUUAUAAAUUGCUCCCUCCGUCGUAAGGAAGAUGACCCAUUCAUUGGGCGAUACGAGAAUAUAUGCAAUUUUAUUUUGUGUGUGAAGUAGGGAGUAAAGUAAAAGAGAGAGAAUAAAUUAGAUAUAAAAGGUGUUUACAUUUAAGUAUGGGUCAUCUUGGUCAUCUUUUUAAGCGAUUCUAUUUAUUUGUGUUGUAUGAAAUUUUGAUUUAUGGUUAGAAUAUCAAACUUAUGGAGACGUUUCUUUUCGGUACAAAGAUUAACAAAAUUGUAUUAGGUGAGUUAAGUAAAGGGAGAAUAAAGUUGAAGAUGAAAAAGACAGAGAGAUGAAGAGAGAAUAAAGUAAGAGAGAGUAAAGUAUGUGUGGAGAAAUGUGUUGAUUUUACUAAAAAGGGAAAUGACUCUAUUACUAUGGAACGUACCAAAAUGGCAAAGUGACUCUAUUACUAUGGAACGGAGGGAGUAGAAUUUUUGGUUUAUAACUGAAUAUGUUGUUAAUUGUUUUUUUAUUAGGAUGUCGCGUUAUGGACCAGAAGAUCCUUCUGUAUUGCGAUAUCAGCAUAGCCACAUAUCUCGUAAGAUGUGGGCAGACAAGGAAACACCUUCUUUCAAUAUUCGGCGCUUGGUGGGGCAUUUUUGGAAAAUAGAUAAUCAUUACAGACGUGUGGUUGAUUAUGUCUGCAGAUUUGAUUUUGGUGGAGUUUAUUAUUGUGGCAAGUCUCUAGAUGUAGAUCAUGCUUUGAUAACAACAUUGGUUGAACGUUGGAGGCCAGAAACACAUACCUUCCAUCUUCCUGUAGGAGAAGCUACUGUUACCUUACAGGACGUUCAAGUGUUAUGGGGUCUACGUGUAGAUGGAUUUCCUUUUACAGGUAAUGGUUAUGUGAAUACAGGUGGGAGAAUCUAUGUGGUGAACUGUUGGGCUUCUAUCCACAUCAAAGUGAGAUGAAGGAAAACGGUAUUUUGGCAUCGGCUCUAAUAAAUAGGAUGGCGAGGGAACCGUCAGAUGAUGAUCUAGAAGAUAAAGCCUACAUUCAACGGGCACGUAUGAUUGUGCUUGUGCUAUUGCAGGGUAACCCGAUGGCUUAGGGUGUAAGAUACAUCUGAUGUGGUUGACCAUAAUUCGGGAUGUUGAGGUUGCCUCUAUGAUUUGUUGGGCGAGUGCUGCACUUGCUACCUUAUAUCAUAAUCUUUGUGAGGCUUUCAUGGGUAAAAGGAAAGACAUUGGAGGUCCGACAGUACUCCUAAAGCUCCUACAACUGUGGGUGUGGGAGAGAAUGCCCACUUUGAGACCUGAUUUUGUGAUGCACGUAUGCAUACGGACAACACUCCAUGUGCAUCGAUGUGGAUUGACUCAUAUUUAAUAAACAAAUCGCCCAAAAUUCUGUUCAACAUUAUCGUGGAUAGUUAUCAUUACUCCAAAAUAGCCAGUUUAUUUGGAUGUCAUACGUGGAUCGUCAAUUGCCAAACAUGUGCCUCGAGAUAAACAACACAUGGGGAUAAUGUUAGGUUUGGUAUACUGAAAAGCAUGUUUCGAGCACGAAUAGAAUCUUGCUUGUAUACGAAAAACUCUACAAUCCACUUUUAACCCGAUUCGAUAUUAUUCGAGCAGUUACGCAUGAAUAGAAUCACCAUCAUUACUACA